rnacentral:rRNA from 1 species
CCUACGGGGGGCAGCAGUGGGGAAUAUUGCACAAUGGGGGAAACCCUGAUGCAGUGACGCCGCGUGAGUGAAGAAGUAAUUCGUUACGUAAAGCUCUAUCAGCAGGGAAGAAACACUGACCUUACGGUCAGCAGACGGUACCUGAGUAAUAAGCCCCGGCUAACUACGUGCAAGCAGCCGCGGUAAUACGUAGGGGGCAAGCGUUAUCCGGAUUUACUGGGUGUAAAGGGAGCGUAGACGGUGCGCCAAGUCUGGAGUGAAAUGCCGCAGCUUAACUGGGGAACUGCUUUGGAAACUGGCGAACUAGAGUGCGGGAGGGGUAAGCGGAAUUCCUAGUGUAGCGGUGAAAUGCGUAGAUAUUAGGAGGAACACCGGUGGCGAAGGCGGCUUACUGGACCGUAACUGACGUUGAGGCUCGAAAGCGUGGGGAGCAAACAGGAUUAGAUACCCUUGUAGUC